rnacentral:rRNA from 1 species
GAGUUUGAUCAUGGCUCAGGAUGAAUGCUGGCGGCGUGUCUAAGGCAUGCAAGUCGAAAGCUAGUUUACUAGCUUGGCAAACGGGAGAGUAACACAUUGAUAACUUACCUCGAAGAUGGGAAUAAUCUUGCGAAAGCGGGAAUAAUACCCAAUAGUAAUAAAAAUCUUAAGAUUUUUAUUUAAAGCUCCGGCGCUUCGAGAGAGGUCUAUGGUCUAUCAGCUUGUUGGUAAGGUAAUGGCUUACCAAGGCUACGACGGAUAGCGGGUGUGAGAGCAUGACCCGUCUCACUGGGACUGAGACACUGUCCAGACUCCUACGGGAGGCUGCAGUCAAGAAUAUUCCUCAAUGGCCGAAAGGCUGAAGGAGCGACGCCGCGUGCAGGAAGAAGCUUUUCGGAGUGUAAACUGCUUUUAUUAGGGAUGAAAAUUAUUGACAGUACCUAAUGAAUAAGGGGCUGCUAACCUCGUGCCAGCAGCCGCGGUAC